rnacentral:rRNA from 1 species
UACGGAGGGUGCGAGCGUUGUCCGGAAUCACUGGGCGUAAAGGGCGCGUAGGCGGCUCGGUAAGUCGGGGGUGAAAUCCUGCGGCUUAACCGCAGGGCUGCCUUCUAAACUGUCGAGCUCGAGCACGGUAGAGGCAGAUGGAAUUCCCGGUGUAGCGGUGGAAUGCGUAGAGAUCGGGAAGAACAUCAGUGGCGAAGGCGGUCUGCUGGGCCGUUGCUGACGCUGAGGCGCGACAGCGUGGGGAGCAAACAGG